CUUCAAUGUUUAGUGCAAGAGAAAAGCGCUGCAUGUGUGGAGUUACUUACAGUGACUCUCCAUUCCUGCACUUUAUCGGUUUUGUUUGUUUAUGUGCUGGAAUAGAUGCUGUUUAGUGAUAUUAAAAACACUGUCACUGAGCUGUCAUCUGCAGGAUCUGUAUUUUAAACGGUCUGCACAUGUUGUCACAACAAGCGUCAUUCUGUCACUCAUCGGAAGCGCUCAGACUGAACGUGAAGCCGCUUCCGCCGCCUAGUGGAGCGGAACAACAACUGCACUUCAGUUUCACUUACGAGCAGACUCAGUCAUCUGCUUCCUCGUGUGCUCAACAAAUCUAUCAGCUUUCAUUCAGGACAAAGGACAAGGUGGCCAGUCUUAGAUUUAAAUCUCAUGUAUUUUACAACAAAUCUAAUGCUUUGUUACAGCCAGCAGAGAAACAUGGAUCUGUCAGUUUAUCUAAAUGCAUCUGAUCAGCUCUCAGUGGAUGAGGUGAAACUGAUUAAAUGUUGUGUUGAACUCAAAAGCACACACACAAACUACAGAACAAAAGGCUUUCCAAGAUUCUUGUAUUUGGACUCAAACAGUAUUUAUUUUAAUUCUUGAUUAGUUUUGGGGAAUUGGGAUGGAUUCUCCAGCUCCCUCUUGAGGAGCAUCUGAAUAGUGAGUGCUUCCCAAUCCACAUCCUGCUCCGAGUCUCUAUCUGAAGCUCUGGAUGGAGGAGGAGGAGGUGAUGUGUGGAAGAACAGGUGUAAAGUGAGUCUGAUGGAUCUACCCACAACAAACGCUGGUCAGAUUGACUGAACACUCAUGCAUUUAUAGCAAACACUGACAGGUUAUUUUAUAAACAGGACAGAUUUGGACAAAUGCUAAUUAAACCCUGUAUCAAAAUAACAGCUGACAGACUAAUAUUAUGACUAAACAUCGAAAUGUUUUUACUUAUUUUUAAUUAGAACAGACACAUGCAUGAGAUGAGAUCAGUAUAUCAGCACUCAGCACCACCUUGUGGACAACACGUGCAUCUGUAAUUAUCUGUAAAACUGCAGUAUGAACAGUGCUGUCUGAUCCUGCUCCUGCUGAGCCACUUUCCUGAGUGAAAACACCUGAAGCAGCUAAUCAAGGUCUUUAGGACCACUAGAAACUUCCAGGCAAGUCUGUUGGACUCUUAUGCAAG
ensembl:lncRNA